GAAGUAAAAGUCGUAACAAGGUUUCCGUAGGUGAACCUGCGGAAGGAUCAUUAACGAGUUUUGAAAAGGGUUGUAGCUGGCCUCGGCAUGUGCACGCCCUGCUCAUCCACUCUUAAACCAAUGUGCACUUGUUGUAGGAACGGUGAAAGGUCGAACAUUGUUUAUUUACUUUGCUCGACUGGAAGCCUUCUUAUGUUUUAUUAAAAACGCUUCAGUCAUAGAAUGUCAAUUUGCGGAUGACGCAAUUAUAUAUACAACUUUCAGCAACGGAUCUCUUGGCUCUCGCAUCGAUGAAGAACGCAGCGAAAUGCGAUAAGUAAUGUGAAUUGCAGAAUUCAGUGAAUCAUCGAAUCUUUGAACGCACCUUGCGCUCCCUGGUAUUCCGGGGAGCACGUCCGUUUGAGUGUCAUGGUAUUCUCAACCUUGGUAGCAUUUUUUAAAGUGUCAUCGAAGGCUUGGAUUUUGGAGGUCGUGCUGGCUCUCGUUAGUCGGCUCCUCUUAAAUUUAUUAGCGUGAACGUUUAUGGAUCGCUAUCAGUGUGAUAAUUAUCUACGCUGUUGGUGUUGAAGUAUGCACCGCUUCUAAUCGUCCUUGAGUUGGACAAUUGAUUUAACAUCUGACCUCAAAUCGGACGGGACUACCCGCUGAACUUAAGCAUAUCAAUAAGCGGAGG
rnacentral:rRNA from 1 species